CUCGAGUCACUUAGAGUCAAUUUUCGCCUCAUUCAUUUACAUUAAAACUGAUUCAAGGACCUGAAAAUAUGCACCCUCUGGAAUUGAUUUCCAUGAGCUUACACCAUGGGGAGAGAUCUUGCUUCACCAUCCAAGGACGUCAUUUUUCUUAUGAAUGGGCCUAAUGGUGAGACCACAUCAUGCUUUGGGUGAUGCGCAACAACAAUUAUAACCCUGCUUAUGACAUUUUACGAUGAUGCUCACUUAGAAGCUGCACAUAACUGAAAGUGGCUCCCUUUUGAAGUUGUAAAAGAACAUUGACCUGCAACCUGUGGGGUGUUUCAGGAAGGAGAGGGGGGGCAUCUGUUCUUUACAGAAAUUCAAAGUUGGUGACUUGAGGUAGAAAACUGAUGAUAGCAGCAAUUAUCAAGUAUCUUUUUUAGGCUUGGGUUAUUUGUUCAGCUGAUCACGUAUCUCAUUGAUCAUUUUAGAGUAAUUUUUACAGCAAUGGCUAUGAAUUUAUGAAACUGACACAUUCCAGCAUCCUAUUUCGUCAAUUAAUAUUCUGAAUUCUUGAA